rnacentral:rRNA from 1 species
UCCUACGGGAGGCAGCAGUGGGGAAUUUUGGACAAUGGGCGCAAGCCUGAUCCAGCAAUGCCGCGUGCAGGAAGAAGGCCUUCGGGUUGUAAACUUCUUUUGUCCGGAGAGAAAAGGUUUUCUCUAAUACAGGGGGCUCAUGACGGUACCGUAAGAAUAAGCACCGGCUAACUACGUGCCAGCAGCCGCGGUAAUACGUAGGGUGCAAGCGUUAAUCGGAAUUACUGGGCGUAAAGCGUGCGCAGGCGGUUUUGUAAGACAGUCGUGAAAUCCCCGGGCUCAACCUGGGAAUGGCGCUUGUGACUGCAAGGCUGGAGUUCGGCAGAGGGGGAUGGAAUUCCGCGUGUAGCAGUGAAAUGCGUAGAUAUGCGUAGGAACACCGAUGGCGAAGGCAAUCCCCUGGGCCUGCACUGACGCUCAUGCACGAAAGCGUGGGGAGCAAACAGGAUUAGAUACCCUGGUAGUCCACGCCCUAAACGAUGUCAACUGGUUGUUGGGUAUUUACUUACUCAGUAACGCAGCUAACGCGU